rnacentral:rRNA from 1 species
GCUACAGUUUGCAUGUCUAAGUACAAGCCUAACUAAGGUGAAACCGCGAAUGGCUCAUUAAAUCACACCACUAAUCUACUGGAUUGUUAGCAGUUACUUGCGAUAACUGAGGUAAUUCUUGAGCUAAUACAUGCGAAAAUUCUCGACUCACGAAGAGAAGCUUUUAUUAGAUCAAAACCAAACAGCUUCUGCUGUAACACUUGGUGACUCUGAAUAACUUUGGGCUGAUCGCAUUGCCUAGAGCAGGCGACGUUUCCUUCGAAGGUGUGCCCUAUCAACUGUCGACUGUGAUAUAGACGCUCACAGUGGUUUUGACGGGUAACGGGGACCUAUCAGGGUUCGAUUCCGUGAGAGGGAGCCUUAAAAAUCCGGCUACCACAUCCAAGGAAGGCAGCAGGCACGCUGAAAUUACCCAAUGAUCGAAGAUCGAGGUAGUGACGAAAAAUAACAAUACAAGACUCUUCCGAGGCCUUGUAAUUGGAAUGAGUACACUUUAAAACCGUUCCCGAGGAUCCAUUGGAGGGCAAGUCUGGUGCCAGCAGCCGCGGUAAUUCCAGCUCCAAUAGCGUAUAUUAAAGUUGUUGUGGUUAAAAAGCUCGUAGUCUGGAUUUCGGCGGGUAUUGGUCGGUUUGAAUUGCUUCAACACUGACUUUUUUACCCGUGUGUUUUGCCAGAAUUUGACGGGUGAUCUUUACCGAUU